UACGUAGGCAGCAAGCGUUGUCCGGAAUCACUGGGCGUAAAGGGCGCGUAGGCGGCGCGGGAAGUCAUCGGUGAAAGCUCAGGGCUCAACUCUGAGUCGGCCGGUGAUACUCUCGUGCUCGAGCACUGUAGAGGCAGGUGGAAUUCCGGGUGUAGCGGUGGAAUGCGUAGAGAUCCGGAAGAACACCGGUGGCGAAGGCGGCCUGCUGGGCAGUAGCUGACGCUGAUGCGCGACAGCGUGGGGAGCAAACAGG
rnacentral:rRNA from 1 species